UUUUAUUUGAACAUUUAUUACAACAACCGUCCUGUAGCUUGAAACGCCUUCCCCUUCCAUUUAACUGCACCAGCGCCACCUCCGAAACCUCACAAAACUUUCUUUUCGGAUCGUUCAUUUUUUGCGACGAGUUGGUGACGGCUCGUCAGGACCAAAAUGGUGAACGGGAGGAUUCCCACGGUUUGUUCCAAGACUUACGUUACUCCCAGACGUCCCUAUGAAAAGGCACGUUUGGACCAAGAGUUGAAGAUCAUCGGUGAAUAUGGUCUUCGAAAUAAACGCGAAGUGUGGCGUGUGAAGUACACGUUGGCUAAAAUUCGUAAAGCCGCCCGAGAAUUGCUCACACUGGAAGAAAAGGACCCGAAAAGGUUGUUUGAAGGUAACGCAUUGUUACGUCGCCUUGUCCGUAUCGGAGUCUUGGACGAAAACCGCAUGAAGCUCGAUUAUGUCUUGGGUCUCAAAAUCGAGGAUUUUCUGGAGAGACGUCUCCAAACCCAAGUCUUCAAACUAGGGCUUGCCAAGUCCAUUCAUCACGCCCGUGUUUUGAUCAGACAGAGACAUAUCCGGUAAUUAAUCAUAAAGGCCAAUUAGUUGAAUAACUAAUGCCUUGAAAUUGCAAAUGCCGAUAAGGCAGGUAUUAUUUAAUCACACACCGAGUCUAGAGUCACUUGAUGGGCCGACAAUGUUCAGGGUUCGUAAACAGGUGGUGAACAUUCCAUCGUUUAUUGUGAGGUUGGACUCGCAGAAACAUAUUGAUUUCUCGUUGAAGUCACCCUUCGGUGGUGGACGUCCGGGACGUGUCAAGAGGAAGAACCUCCGUAAAGGCGCCGGUGGUGGCGGCGGAGGAGAGGAAGAAGAAGAUUAAGCUAAUUGUAGCUUUACAAAAAUAAAUACUUUAAAUACAAAGCAAA